rnacentral:rRNA from 1 species
GACAUGAGCAGUGAACGUUAAUCAUGAUGGUUGGGUGUAAAAAAUGCUACGACAGGUUUUAAAAGUUAAAUAGUCUAGUUAGAGUAUUCUCGAUUUAAAAACCUUGAACCUUUUAUAAGUUAUUAUAUAUUAAUCCCUUAUUUUAAAGAUAAAAUUUUUCUGAAAAUAAGUGGUUAACCAGUGGAUGGAAAUAGUAAAACUAACUAGGUUGACGUUUAGGCAUGAAAGUAUAGACCGUAAAGAGGAUUAGAGACCCUUGUAACCUAUACUGUAAAAGAUAAGAGUUAUCAGCCACAAAUUGAUCAACUAACGUGCAAACUCUUUACCUGGGUAGUAAAACCGCAAGGUUUAAACUUAAAAAAAUUGGCGGGAUCUAAUUUAAUGGUGGGGCAUGUGAUUUAAUUCGGUAAUCCUCGCAUAAUCUUACUAACAUCUUAAUAAAUUUUUUACUAAUAUUACAUUUUAGUAAAACUUUAUCUGGGGCACUGCAUGGCUGUCGUCAGUUCGUCUUGUGAAACGUAGGAUUUAGUUCUUAUUACGAACGUAACCCUAAAAUUUGUUUUUUUUAAACAAAGUCGUUUGUGGAGUUAUAUGAUUGGUCUAUUCUUUUUUUUAAGAAACUAGGAUUUUAACGAAGCAUUCACUUAAUAGGAUGAGGUCAAGUCUUUACGAUCCUUGAAUGUUAGGCUAUCCAUUUGUUACAAAGGUAAAAACAAAGGUUCCCUUAUUGUAAAAAAGAAGGAAUACUAAAAAAUUACCCUAGUUCGAAUUACCUACUGAAAUUUUUAGGUAUGAAGUCGGAAUCAUUAGUAAUCGUAAAAUAAUAAGUUACGGUGAAUAAAAGCAUUAGAUCUGCACACACCGCCCAUCACGCUCGGCUAAUUAUACGUAUUUAAUAAAUUUAAAUUCGAAAAAUUAUUUUUUUUAAAGUAAUUUAGUGUUAAGCACUUAAGUAACUCAUAAGUGAUUACUUUUAUCGUUUUUUUAAUUUAUAAACUAUGUAUGGUGAUUUGAGUGAAGUUG